AAACUAAAUAAUUUAAUUUUUUUUGUUUAAUAAAAGAUAAAUUAAAUAAAAUAAUAAUAUAAAUAAUUAGUUUAAGUAAUUAAAUUGAAAUAAUUAAUUAAAUUAUACAAAUAAUUGUAAAAUAAUUUUUUAAAAUUAAUUAAAAAGAUAAAUUAAUUUUUUGUACCUUUUGUAUCAGGGUUAAUUAAAAAUUUUUAAUUAAUAAUUAAAUUUUUCGAAAUUAAUUGAGUUAAAAUUUAAUAAUAGUUAAUGUUUUAUAUUUAUUAUAAAUUAAAUUUUAGUAAUUAAAUGUUAUUCGUAAUUAAUAAUAUCUAAUUAUUUAAUAAAUGAAUUUAAUUCAUUAAUUUAUUAAUUUAAAAUUAAGUUUUUUUUAAUUUUAAAUAAAUUAAAAAAUUUUAAGGGAUAAACUUUAAAAUUAAAAUUAUAAUUAAAUAUUAAAAUUUUUAUUAAAAUAUAAUUUAAAAUUUUAAUUUUUAGAAAAUUUUUAAUAAUUUAAAAUUUUUAUUUAAAUAUUAAUUAAAUAAAAAUUUAAUUUUUUUAUUAAAUUUUAGUUUUUAAUAAUUUAAAUUUAAUAAUAAUGAUUAAAUUAGUAUAAAAUUAUUUGUAUUAUAAUAUAAAUUAAUUGAUAAGUUAAUUUAAUGAAUUCGGCAAAUAAAAAUAUUUACCUGUUUAUUAAAAACAUGUCUUUAAGAAAUUAAUUUAAAGUCUAAUCUACUCAAUGAUUAAAAUUUAAUAGUUGCAAUAUUUUGAUUGUACAAAGGUAGCAUAAUCAUUUGUCUUUUAAUUGAAGAAUGGAAUGAAAGAUUGAAUAAAAUAUUAACUAUAUAAAUUUAAUUUAAAAUUAAAAUUUAUUUUUAAGUAAAAAAUCUUAAAUUUAUUUAUUAGACGAUAAGACCCUAUAGAAUUUUAUAAAUAAUUAUUUAUUUAAUAAAAAGUGUAUUAAAAUUAUUUAUUUUAAAUUAUUUAUUAUAUUGGGGGUAUAAAAAAAUUUUUAAAUUUUUUUAUUAAAUAAAAUAUUAAAUAGAUAACUGUUUAAAUAAAAGAGUGUUUAUUAUAAAAUAUUAGAAUAAAUUACCUUAGGGAUAACAGCAUAAUUUUUUUAGAGAGAUCUUAUUGAUAAAAAAGAUUGUGACCUCGAUGUUGAAUUAAAAUAAAAAUUAAAAGGAGAAUUUUAAAUUAUUAAGUUUGUUCAACUUUUAAAAUUUUACAUGAUUUGAGUUAAAAUCGGUGUAAGCCAGAUUGGUUUUUAUCUAUAAUAAAUUAAAAAAUAAUUGUACGAAAGGACUUUAUUUUAUAAAAUUAUAUAAAAUUAAAAUAAUAUAAUGAAUUAAAUUAAUUAAAUAAUAUAUAAAUUAAAAUUAAUAUAUUAAAGUUAAAUAUAUAA
rnacentral:rRNA from 1 species